rnacentral:rRNA from 1 species
UUUGUUACUUCAAACCAAUCGGACAACAGUCUGACAUCAAGUGAUAUUGAACAAUUCAGCUGAUCGCACGGUCUAAGAACCGGCGACAUAUCCUUCAAAUGUCUGCCUUAUCAACUUUCGAUGGUAGAUUAUGCGCCUACCAUGGCUGUAACGGGUAACGGAGAAUCAGGGUUUGAUUCCGGAGAGGGAGCCUGARAAACGGCUACCACAUCCAAGGAAGCCAGCAGGCACGCAAAUUACCCACUCCCGGCACGGGGAGGUAGUGACGAAAAAUAACAAGCUGGUCUCAAUGAGUUCCAGCAUUGUAAUGGGAACAAUUUAAAUCUUUUAUCGAGGAUCUAUUGGAGGGCAAGUCUGGUGCCAGCAGCCGCGGUAAUUCCAGCUCCAAUAGCGUAUAUUAAAGUUGUUGCGGUUAAAAAGCUCGUAGUUGGAUCUAGGAUUAGGGCUACGGUCGUUCAGCUUGGACGUACUGUAUGCCCGACUCCUUUUCUCUAGUAUUCGAUUGUUGCUCUUAAAUGAGUGACUUUAGUUGCUGGAACUUUUACCUUGAAAAAUUGAAGUGCUCAAAGCAGGUUA